rnacentral:rRNA from 1 species
ACGAACGUUGGCGGCGUGGAUUAGGCAUGCAAGUCGAGGGAAUCACUCGCAAGGGUGGGAACCGGCGUAAGGGGCAGUAAGGCAUGGGUAUCUACCCUGGGGUCCGGCAUAGCCCUUCGAGAGAAGGGGUAAUUCCGGAUGAUCUCGUGAGGGCAAAGAUUUAUCGCCCUGGGAGGGGCCCAUGUAAUAUUAGCUAGUUGGUGAGGUAACGGCUCACCAAGGCGAAGAUGUUUAGCGGGUGUGAGAGCACGACCCGCGCCACUGGCACUGAGACACUGGCCAGACACCUACGGGUGGCUGCAGUCGAGGAUCUUCGGCAAUGGGCGAAAGCCUGACCGAGCGACGCCGCGUGUGCGACGAAGGCCUUCGGGUUGUAAAGCACUGUCGAGGGGGAGAAAAGCCCGCAAGGGUGUGAUCUAUCCCUGGAGGAAGCACGGGCUAAGUUCGUGCCAGCAGCCGCGGUAAU